rnacentral:rRNA from 1 species
UACGUAGGGUGCAAGCGUUGUCCGGAAUUAUUGGGCGUAAAGAGCGUGUAGGCGGCCCGAUUAGUCCGCUGUGAAAGUCCAGGGCUCAACCCUGGAAUGCCGGUGGAUACUGUCGGGCUAGAGUCCGGAAGGGGCGAGUGGAAUUCCUGGUGUAGCGGUGAAAUGCGCAGAUAUCAGGAGGAACACCAAUGGCGAAAGCGACUUUCUGGGCCGUUCCUGACGCUGAGGUUCGAAAGCCAGGGGAGCAAACGGG